GCUGACGACAAUGGCAAGAUGGUACCACCUGAUCCCUUCUCGAACUCAGUAGUGAAACGUCUUAGCGCCGAUGGUAGUGUGGUUUAACCAUGUGAGAGUAGGUCAUCGUCAGCU
rnacentral:rRNA from 1 species